rnacentral:rRNA from 1 species
UACUCCUACGGGAGGCAGCAGUGGGGAAUAUUGGACAAUGGGCGAAAGCCUGAUCCAGCCAUGCCGCGUGUGUGAAGAAGGUCUUCGGAUUGUAAAGCACUUUAAGUUGGGAGGAAGGGCAGUAACUUUAAUACCUUGUUGUAUGACGUACC